rnacentral:lncRNA from 1 species
GUGAAGCUAAUUAAGAGCAUUGUCCUGUGAGGGGGGAAGGCGGAGGGCUUUCCGAGACCGUGGUUUUCACCAGGGAACAAAAGAUAACCUUCUAUUACAGAUUCAAGAAGCUAAAGGAUGGGUACAGUCAUUUUGAAAGAACAGUCUAACACACCCAGCUGCCUCUCAUGAAUUUGGGAUGGGAAAUCAAAGAGGAGGAGCUGUAACACAUCCCUGGGUCAGUGCCAAAAGAAGAUAAAGGAACAGCUGCAAGAUACUGCAGAGUGAAGAAUGGUAAUUCAGCAGAAGCCAGAAAUCAAACCCAGAGGUACCAAGAGAAUGGGAAGCCCAGAAGUAUCUCAGGGAGUUUGGGAGAGCAUCAACUUCCCAUAAGACAUGGGAUGAGGUUUCCAGAUUCAAUGAGAAGACAGCAGUCUGCAAUCCAGAAGAGGACCCUCACCAGAAUGCAACCCUGCCAGCAUGCUGAUCUAGGAUUUCUAGCCUUCCAAACUGCGAGAAAUAAAUUUCAUUUGUAUAUAAGCCAUCUAGUCUGUGGUGCUUUGUCAUACCAGCCCCAAAUGACUAAAACAAUAGGUGGUGUGUGUUUCGAUUUUGAUCCUCUCCUUUGAUCAUU